rnacentral:lncRNA from 1 species
UUGAACAGUGGCAGCGCCGAGAGCUUCCAUUUCUUCUUUUCUUUCUCCCGUCUCUGAUUCUCUCCUCCCUUCUCUGUCUCCUGGGAUGACUCCUCCGAAGGAUGGAUGGGAUCAACCGGCUCCCUUGGAAUGGUUCCGAAGAGGAUGGCUCCUAUGUUCACGCCUGGGCCUUUUAUAGACUUGCCAACUCCCCUCGCUCCUCCCCUGUUUCUUCACGUGGUUGUUUCGAGUGGGAGGAUAAUGAUGAAGAGCUUGAUCUGAUCCGCCGAUAAUAGAAGAUAUUGUCGUAUCUCAUCCAGACGUUGGGGAGAAUAUAUCUGAGAGCUGAUCGCGGAGAAGAGAUAAGAACGGCUGGAACAAGCUGGGAUUGGUUCGGAUUAAUCCCGAAACAGGGGAAUCCGUGGAGCUCGGGAUGCAUGAUGAUGUGGACAGUGCAGGAUGGGAGGAAGAAACGGAUUCGUGAAGGGAAGUUGAGGAGGAAACAGAUGCGCUUAGGAUGUUGAUCCAUGGGAUACUCGGACGUGGAAGGGAUGAAGCUGGGACGGCUGUGAACGGUGAUUACGGGAUAAAGGCUAGGAGAUGAGUGAAUCACGGGUGAGAACAGAGGAGCUGGGAUUUAGUUGGGAACGUGAUUCGUGGAAGCUUUGGAAUGUUGGGAGAUUUGGGAAUCCGACUGGGAUCAGUCCGGAAGAAGAUUCUGGUUUUCAUCCGCAUGAAACAGGGGAUUUGAUAUGGUCAUGGGAUGUUUGGAUAUCGGCUGAUAAUAGGGAACAGAUGCAUGGUUUUUUUUGUUGAUGGAUACAGGAGAUCCUUGGAACGGUGAGAUUGAUUCUAGAGAAAGCUGAAGUCAGGGAUCUUGUUGGAUGCGGGAUCACGAACGUGAUGCGGAGGGAUAACGAGAUGAAGCUGUGUUUGUUUGGGAUAAAGUUGCAGGGGCUUCGGCUGAGAGGAAUCCGGAAGAAUGAAGCUGGACGUUGGGGACGCUGGAUUUGGUGAAAGUUGGAUUCGAAAUGGGAUGCGGGAGCUGGGAGUUGGAUUCGGCCGGGAGUGAUUUCGGAAUAGAGGAAGAUGCAUGACGUGGCCGAUGCGGAAUGAAGCUUACGGCUGGCAGCUGGGAGUUGAAGCUUAGAUGGAAUCCGUGGGAGGUUGGGAUGUCGCCGUUUCACGGGAUGAGGAUGAAGCACUGGAAUGCAGGGGCUUCGGAAGACAUGGGAGGCUAAAUUCCUGGGAUUCCUUUUGACGUGGAUGAAGGGGAGGAAGGCAUACAGUUGAGAUUACUCGAGCUGGAACUCUGUUCCGAAGUAGAGAUAAGGAUGCAAGGGAGAUGAAGCUCGUGAAACGUGGGUGGAUGAAGUGUGAUUUCCUUUGGCUGGGAGCAAGACUUUUGGACACGAGGGAGGAUGGCAUGCAAGCUUGUAUGCCGACGUGGACGGUUGGGAAUUUGCUCUAUUUUGAGUAUGGGUGGAUUACGUGGAAGAUACUUUGAAAUGAAGGGGACUUGCAU